rnacentral:lncRNA from 1 species
GUGUAUUUUGGAUUUUAACUCUUUGUCUGUCACAUCAUUUGCAAAUAUUUUCUCCCAUUCAGUACAUUGUCUUUUCAUUUUGUUGUUGGUUUCUUUUGCCAUGAAAAAGCUUUAAGUCCAAUUUGUUUAUUUUUUUAUUUCUUUUGCCUUAGGAGACAAAUCCAAAAAAAUAUUGUCAUGAUCUAAAAUGUCAAAGAGUGUUCUAAGUUCUCUUCUAGGAGUUUUAAAACUUCAGGUCUUCCAUGUAGGUCUUUAAUCCAUUUUGAGCUUAUUUUUGUAACUAGUAUGAGGAGCUGUUCUCAUUCUUUAACAUAUAGCUAGCCAGUUUCUCCAGCACCAUCUAUUGAAGAGACCAUUGUGUAUGCUUGCCCCCUUCGUCAUAGUUUAAUUGACCAUAAAUAUGUGGGUUUUUUCCUGGGCUCUAUUCUGUUCCAUUGAUCUGUGUAUCUGUUCUGUGCCAGUACCAUGAUGUUUUGAUAACUAUAACUUUGUAAUAUAGUCUGAAGUCAUGGAGGGUGAUACCUCUAGCUUUGUUCCCCCCCCAACCACCAGGAUUGCUUUGGCAAUUUGGAGUCUUUUGUGGUCCUGUAUAAAGUUUAGGAAUAUUUGUUCUAGUUCUGUGGAAAAUGUCAUGGGCAUUUUGAUAGGGAUUAUAUUAAAUCUGUAGAUUUCUUUGGGUAGUAUGGCCAUUUAAGAAAUACUAAUUCUGGAGUUCCCGUCAUGGCACAGCAGAAACAAAUCUGACUAGGAACCUUGAGGUUGUGGAUUUGAUACCUGGCCUCAAUCACUGGGUUAAGGAUCUAGCAUUGCCAAGAGCUGUGGUAUAGGUUGCAGACACAGCUUGGAUCCUGUAUUGCUGUAGCUGUGGUGUAGGCCAGCAGCUGUAGCUCCAAUUCAACCACUAGCCUGGAACCUCCACAUGCCACAGGUGCAGGCCUAAAAAGAAAAAAAAAUUAGUUCUUCUAAUGCAAGAGCACUGGGGCCUUUGCCCUAAAGGAAGGGAGUGCUGAAUGAUGGAAUUUGUGUGCUCACAGAGGUACGAUGCACUAUCUGUGUCGGUGCCUGUGGCUCUGCUCAGACACAGCCCAGUGUUGCAUCUUUUCUCUUACUGUUGUAGUCCCAGAUCUAGUACUAUGUUGUGUGGGCAAUGCUAUAGCAUUUGCUCAGCUAGGACAGGAAUCGUAUUGUGUUGGUUGUAGGAUUUAAGCAGCUGUACUGGUGUUGGAAGUCUGGAAUGCUUCUGGGAUCUCUGCUUCAGCACCAACAGUAGGUGCUGCUGUCCCACUUGGAGCACACCCUAAGUCUGCAGGUUGUCUCUGCAUCCCUAGGUCAAGUCUUUCCCCAGAUACAGCUGCACUAGAUCCAUUGCUAAUCUGUGGCAUGGAAUUAGCACAGCCCAAGUGUUCACUCAGCUGAGAUUGGGGAGUGUGGUGAGGUAGUGCCUACUAAGCCAGACCUCUCCCAACCCUGUCUGUUGGCAAGUCAGCACCUGCACACUCCUCAUGAAUGGAGUCUAGUCAUCUCCAGCUUUUCUCUCUGUCCCAGUAUUUCUCCAAGCAGCUAAAGUGGUUUGUCUGCUCCACCUAGGACCCCAGGUCUGGGAUGCCAGUCUGUGGCUUGACCCGCUCACUCCCCAGAGCAAGCAUCUGCCUGUGCGAAUCUCCUGUUUCCUUUUUUUCUUCUUCCAGAGGCACAGGUCUCAGUCUGGUGUUUUUCUUCCCAUUCUAGCCAAUUGCAUGUGUAUCUCUCUUGCAGCCUUAAUUGUAUAGGAUUUUUUUCUGCCAGUUUCCAGUCAGUGUUCCCUGAGAAUUGUUCCACCUAGAAUUGUAUUUUUGAUGUGUUUUGGGGGAGAGGUGGGCUCCACAUCCUCUUAUUCAGACAUCUUAAUUACCCUUCUCUAUUUUAAUUUUAAUGUUGCUUCUUUUACUUUUAAAUUUUAGAAAAAUAAGCAAAACUUCAGUGUGCAAAGAGAACAGAAUCCCUAGGCAAAGUUUAGAUGACUUAGUCUAGCCUCCUCCCAAUAAAGACGUUUACCUCUAUUGCUGAAAUACAUGAAUGUAUGCAAUAUAUCUCACUAAAAUGAAGAGAAAAAAUUAUAGACACUAAAUUUUAUAGGAUCAUUAUAAGCAAUUAAAAUUUCAUAUCUAAGUAAUUAUUUUUGAAACCAGAUUACCUUAAGAACUUCCCUAUGUCUUCAAAUAGAAAGUCAAAAUAAACAGUAAAUUUAUAAUUAUGGUAAUUUUGAAGUAGAGAUGAGGGUUGACAAUAAUAUGACAUUUAUGCAACAAUUGUAAUAUUACAGAAUCUGUGAUUUCUUCUGAUGACAGUCUUUAAUUGUUAAUGUGGCUAGUCACCUAUAUUGAAUAUUGAAAGAAAUACUAUAUUUUGAUAAGAGGUUGGUGAAUUUAAAGAUUCAGUUUUUUUUUUAUUCAAGCUCAUGUUCCCCAGAUUAAGAAGCCUAGACAGUAAACAUCUAGUUUGUUGCAUGUUACCCAGAUUUCAAAGUUGAUUCUUUAGCUGUUUUAAAUCUGUGCACCAAAUCUCCAUUUCAUUUUGUUCAGUGUCAUCAAAGCCUUACUUUCUCAAGUCUAACAAAUAUAGAUGAAAUAGGAAUUUAAAAAAUUAGAUACUUUGAAAACAUGAGACUAACUUUUUAAUGACCUUUCUUUGGAGUUUCAAACGCCAAAUUCCUUUGGCUGAAGUAACCAAAGCUAAGGAAUGCUAAUUACAUUAGCAGUGCUUCUGGUACUGAGGGGGGAAAAAUGGUAAAACUGAACUGAAUUAAACUGUUUUGGAGAAUUUAUUUCAUCUCUCAGCAAGAGCCUACCUAAAAAAUACAAGUAAAACACAAGUAAUAUCAUCACAGUUCUUGAGAUUUCCCUUUAAUGAAGUAGUUGAAUGAGAAGCAACAAUUAACACUUCAAAAAAAAAAAAAUAGAAACCUAGUUAAUAGUACAUAUUUUGCUUCAUAUAGACUUCCACCAGACUUAAACUCAAUGGAAAAAGUAAAACCCAAUAAUUUUACAAUUGACUCAUAACUCCUUUUGACUUGUAGUGAUUAAUUAAUGUUAUUUCCCCCAGUUUGUUUCUGCAUUUGAAGUUACUGUUGGACAAAAUAAUAAAAGAUUCCACUGAAUGGUUCACUAAAAAAAAACCCAGAAAACAAUUAACACUUCAAAACAUACCAUUCAGUAUAGACGCAUUUUAUUUUACUACAUUAUGCUUUUUAGGAAACACUUUUAUCCUGGUUUUAGGUUUUCAUUCAAUAAAAAGGUUAAUCUUAGUAGAAUGAGUUGGUCCCUAGUUGGCUGUAUACACAUGCCUUUGUUUACUCAAAUUUAUUCUGUACCUGCCAUGGGCCAGGUACAGCAUAACAUUAUAAAAUCUUUACAAGGCUUCCUGUAAACAAGUCUGUUAUCAAAAAAUGUAACAUAUCUCAGUGAGCUCCUUAAGAGAAAUUAAUUUUUUUACUACAUUUGCCUAACUACAUUUGCCUAUCUACAAAUUGUCAUGUAUAAGAAUCUGCAUUUUUUUCAGAAGUUGAAAUAGAUAUAUCAUCAAUACUAAAUGUUUCUCCAGAGAAAGAGUCUUGUAUUUAUUUAAAUUUAUCUACAAAGAAAACACCAUUGCAUUUUAUUUUAUUGUGCAAAAGUGUUGAAAUGAUUUAAAAAUAAAAAUUAUCUCCCCUUUCUCUAACAUAUUCCUUUCAUUUAUUGGUUUAUUUAUAUAUUUAUAAAUUUUAUUGGCAUAUAGUUGAUUUACAAUGUUGUGUUAGUUUCAGGUAUUCAGCAAAGUGAAUCAUAUAUAUAUACACAUACACAUACAUAAAUACAUUCUUUUUUAGAUUCUUUUCCCAUUUAGAUUAGUGGAGAAUAUUGAGUAGAGUUCCUUGUGCUAUAUAGUAGGUUCUUAUUGAUUAUCUAUUUUAUAUAUAGUAGUAUAUAUAUGUUAAUCCCAAACUCCUAAUUUAUCCCU